rnacentral:tRNA from 1 species
UCCCUGAUGGCUCAGACAGUAGAGAAUCUGCCUGCAAUGCAGGAGACCCCAGUUCAAUCCCUGGGUCAGGAA